CAGUGAGAUCCUCCAACACAUCAUAUUUAAUGUUACGUUUUAUGGGCAACAGUGUGCACUUGGUUGUCCAAGUUCAGCCUCUGAUGAAUGCACUGUAUUUGUGGAGGUGAACACUCAAGCUAAUGACAUUCAGCAAAUGAGCUCAUAGUGAACUUGUGCGCUCUAAGAAUGCAUUAGAAUAAACUACAAUCCUGCUUUUCCACCACAGCUGAACUUUUCUACACUGUUGAGCAACCACACAGUGGUGACACAUCCUGAGCGGUACAUUAAUGUUUUUGUUCCAGUGCCCCAAAACUGUGGACCAUGCAAUAAAUGAGGCAUAUAACUUUC